GAUGAACGCUAGCUACAGGCUUAACACAUGCAAGUCGAGGGGAAACGAUAGAGGAAGCUUGCUUCCUUUGGGCGUCGACCGGCGCACGGGUGAGUAACGCGUAUCCAACCUUCCCGCAAGUAAGGGAUAACCCGUAGAAAUGCGGCCUAAUACCUUACGUUUCCCUUAGAGGGCAUCUGAUGAGGAACAAAGAUCCGUCGCUUGCGGAUGGGGAUGCGUCUGAUUAGUUAGUCGGCGGGGUAACGGCCCACCGAGACGACGGUCAGUAGGGGUUCUGAGAGGAAAAGUCCCCCACAUUGGAACUGAGACACGGUCCAAACUCCUACGGGAGGCAGCAGUGAGG
rnacentral:rRNA from 1 species